UACGAAGGGGGCUAGCGUUGCUCGGAAUCACUGGGCGUAAAGCGCACGUAGGCGGCUUUCUAAGUCAGGGGUGAAAUCCUGGAGCUCAACUCCAGAACUGCCUUUGAUACUGGAGUGCUUGAGUCCGGGAGAGGUGAGUGGAACUCCGAGUGUAGAGGUGAAAUUCGUAGAUAUUCGGAAGAACACCAGUGGCGAAGGCGGCUCACUGGCCCGGUACUGACGCUGAUGUGCGAAAGCGUGGGGAGCAAACAGG
rnacentral:rRNA from 1 species